rnacentral:lncRNA from 1 species
CAGCCGCUCACAACUCCUCACGGGGGCAUCAGGACUUCUCCUCCGCACAUGCCCGAACCACCUCAGUCUCGCUUCUCGCAUCUUCUCAUCCACCGGGAUCACCCCCACCUUCUCUCGAAUAACUUCAUUCUUAAUCUUAUCUAACCUGGUGCGCCCGCACAUCUACCUGAGCAUCCUAACGAACCACCUCAGCCUCGCUUCCGCAUCUUCUCAUCCACCCCGGGGCCACCCCCACCUUCUCUCGAAUUACUUCAUUCUUAGUCUUAUCUAACCUGGUGAGCCGGCACAUCCACAUGAGCAUCCUCAUCUCCGCGAACUUCAUUCUCUGAACAUGAGAGUUCU